rnacentral:rRNA from 1 species
UACAGAGGGUGCGAGCGUUAAUCGGAAUUACUGGGCGUAAAGGGCGCGUAGGUGGUUUAUCAAGUGAGAUGUGAAAUCCCUGGGCUUAACCCAGGAAAGUCAUCUUAGACUGAUAGACUGGAGUGCAGUAGAGGGUAGUGGAAUUUCCGGUGUAGCGGUGAAAUGCGUAGAGAUCGGAAGGAACAUCAGUGGCGAAGGCGGCUACCUGGACUGACACCGACACUGAGGCGCGAAAGCGUGGGGAGCAAACAGG